rnacentral:rRNA from 1 species
CAGCAGGCGCGAAUACUUCUCAAUGCAUGAAAGUGCGAUUAGGCUACUUCUAGUGCCGUCCGUUGACGAUGGCUUUUGCCAAGUCUAAAUAGCUUGGAAAAUAAUGGGAGGGUAAGUCUGGUGUCAGACUCCCCGGUAAUACCAUCUCCCCUCAGUGGUCGGGAUGAUUAUUGGGCCUAAAGCAUCCGUAGCCGGUUCCGUACGUCUCCUGUUAAAUUCAACGGCUCAACCGUUGAGCUGCACGAUAUACCGCGGGGCUAUGAGGCGGGAGAGGCGGACGGUACUCCGUGGGUAGGGGUAAAAUCCUCUGAUCCUCGGAAGACCACCACUGGCAAAGGCGGUCCGCCAGAACGCGCUCGAUGGUAAGGGAUGAAAGCUGGGGGAGCUAACCGGAUUAGAUACCCGGGUAGUCCCAGCUGUAAACUAUGCCAGCUAUGUGAUAGAAUGAUUUCGUAUCAUUCUAGUGCCGCAGGAAAGCCGUUAAGCUCUCCGCCUGGGGAGUACGGUCGCACGACUGAUACUUAGAUGACUUGCCGGGGGAGCAC